rnacentral:lncRNA from 1 species
CACCCAUGGCAUACGGAAGUGCCCAGGCUAGUGCUCAAAUCAGAGCUUUAGCUGCCAGCCUACACACAGCCCACGGCAAUGCCAGAUCCUUAACCCACUGAGAGAGGCCAGGGAUUGAACCUGAGUCCUCAUGGAUACUAGUCAGGUUCGUUACUGCUGAGCCACAAUAGGAACUCCCAGUGAGUCUCCUAAUACAAGACUCUAAAGGGUGGAGGACGUGCUUCUCGGCCAUCGGUAUCAGGUGUCAGGAGGGCCAAGGGUUCGGGACCCAACUGGGGAUCGUAUUCUCCAUUGUAACAGAUGCAGGUAGAUCACGAUGGUGUUUGGUAUUUGUUCCCAUCAUAAAUCUUCUUGUUUUGACCCCAAGGAAGAGUUUCUAGAUGAUACCAGUUCACACAGGUCUCAGCUGUCACCUCUAGCCGACCACCCCAUCUCCUUCACAGGCCGCCUCGGUCCGUGGGGAGUCUGCAGCCGAGCUGGCUGGUCCAUGCAUUACACAGCUUAUUAAAGGACAUGGAAAAGUGCUCAGGCCCCAACACAGAUCCAAGAGCAGUUUUCAAAUAUCCCUGUAUGGAUGGGAAUGCUUUAAAACUGCAGUAUGUUUUCCUUGGCAGAGGUACCCCUCCAUUAGAUGCAAUUUCUUCCUGACAUUUCACAAAUUGUUUUAUGUCUGUGUUCUCUAUAAGGACUGUCCAUGGAGGUCAGAACGGAAAUUACGGUUCUAAGAAUGUUCACAUUAGCAUCCAGGGCAACGCACGAGGCCCAAGCUAAAUAUCUCCAACCUGGCCAGCCUGCCAGUGCAAUGAUUAACAAGUCGGGCUGCCACACGGGGGACUGUGCUGGGAGCGCUCCCGGGACUGCUGCUCCCUGGGCCAGCGCGGGCAACGUGUGUUUAGUCUAUCAGAGUAUUUACUCAGGACGCCUAUCACCGUGGAACCGAGACAGCCGUCUGAGAGAGGACGGCUUGCAUCCCCUGCGGGGCACGGGUGGGGCGAGGUGGAUCUAUUUUUUUCGCUUAGAUUCCAUUCCCAGCCUAACUCAGCCCAGGAAAGAUGUGGAAUGUUGGUCAAUCGAGGUAGACUCAGGCCAGGCUGACUGCCAAGAGUAAGACUUCAGAAGGGUGACAGAUCUGGUGAUGGCCAACUAUGGGCUUUGAGAAGCAGGCAAUAUGGUGGUACCCACCACCGUAACCCUGGGCAAGCAUUAGGGUAGGACAGCCAGCGUUAGGCCAUCCUUUCUCCCAUUCCUUCUGUCUUGGGUCAAAUACACCUGAGGAAGCAAGGACUGCCUGUUACAGAUAUUCAGAGCCCUGAUGUGGGAAGCAGGGGCCACAACUUAAGACUCUGGACCUGGGUUCGAAUCCUGCCUUUGACACUUAAUCGCCGUAUAAGUCACCUCACCGAUCUGAGUCUAUUAUUCCCUCUACACAGUGGAAACUAGAACAUCUCUCCUCAAAGACUGCUUUAGAUAUUAAGUGAGAAUAAUCAGAGUCAAUAUACUCAAUUAUUAUAUGUCAAAAUCUGAAUAUGUUUUUUGCCAUUGCCAAAUAAAAUUAGAGGCAACGGAACACAAUUUAACCAGAGCAUCAUCCCCCGCUCAGCCCCUCAUCACCACCACCACCACCAGUUAGACAGACACUGGGAGAAAGAACUGGGAGAAAAUUUGAGAAAUAGUUAUACCUGGAGAUAAUUUUCUUCCUGCCCAAAUCUCCCUUCUAGGCCCUGUAGCAAUAAAGAGAAGGAACCAGGGAGUUUCCGGCAUGAUGGGAGUUCCUGUUGUGGCGCAGUGGAAACGAAUCCAACUAGGAACCAUGAGGUUGCAGGUUCGAUCCCUGGCCUCGCUCAGUGGGUUAAGGAUCUGGCGUUGCCGUGUGCUGUGGUGUAGGUCGCAGAUGCAGUUCUGAUCUGCCAUUGCUGUGGCUGUGGUGUAGGCAGCGGCUACAGUUCCAAUUUGACCCCUAGCCUGGGAACCUCCAUAUGCUGCAGGAGAGGCCCUAAAAAGACAAAAAAAAAAAGAAAAGAAAAGAAAAAAAAAAAAGGAAAAGGGAGGGGCCUGUACCACAAUGGAAUAGAAAAGAAAGAGAAAAAAAAAAAUUAGAUGGACUUACAUGCAGAAAGGGAAAGCAUUAUUUCUGGAAAGUUGUGUUUAUACGUGGCUGAGUAUAUUUAUGUGCUACUUGACUGUGUACAUAGCAGGAUGUGCUUUUUUUUUCUUAGGUUACAAUGCCAAAAGUUUGAAAUCCACUGUUUUGUAAGCCCUUCAUAGGUCUCCAUGUGACACCAUUCGAAAACCGCCUCCUAGCACCUCCGUGAUGUGGGUAGUUUUUGUUUUGGCCACACCUACACCAGGUAGAAGUUCCGGGACCAGAAACCACACCACAGCAGCAACCCAAGCCACUGCAGUGACAGUGCCAGAUCCUUAACCUGCUGCACCACAAGAGAACUCCCUAACGUGGAUGGUUUUAAUAGUUUCUUGUGACUUGAAGGCUCCAAUAUAUUAUCUCCUUGAUUUUCAAUGCCCGGAGGGAAAAGCAGAGAAGAAAUGCUUAUCCUUAUUGCACAGACAAGGAAAUUAUGAGUCAAGGCAAUUAGGAGAUUUAGUCAAGACCAUAUCCACAUGUCAAGGUCAGAGCUGAGAAGCCAAAGUUCCUGACCUUGGGUCCAGAGUACCAUCUUCCCAGUGUCUUAGACUCAGCACUUUAUCCAACAUCUUCUUUCAGUUUAGAACAAGUUUACCAAUGAGAGCGCAGGCAAAAAACAAUUCAAAGCUCAGAAUUUCUUUGCACAAUCAUUCUCGGAAAUGCGUCAACAAAUACAAGGCCCUCCUUACUGGAAUAACAAAAUAGACCACUUAAGUAAAUCAAACCACUUGAUGGAGGCCAAGAGAGCUAUUGAUACCCGUUCGCCUGUCUCCAAGGAACAAAACACUGAAAGGCAAGGGCUUAAAAUGAAUGAAAAUGUAUCCAGUGCACAAUCAAAUGAAAAUGUUGUGGGCCCAUGGCCAGGGAUUAUCUGCCAAUUGGAUCUCUUUCAGCGCCCUAAAUUUAACCAGCUGGGAUUCUUUUUUUCCCUCCCUCCCUCUUUGGUAAGUAUCAUCUUUUUCAACCUUCUGAAAGGAAGAGAUUUCCUUUUAAUGGGAAAUCUGUAUUUCAUCAUAAAGAUGGAACACAACGUGCUGGGUUUACCCAGUCUCCUGGGAAGUAGGUUCUUUGGUUAGUGUAUGCUUGGCAUGAAAGACCAGACUCACAUUCCAGCAAGUUUAUUUCAGGCAUGAGGGACUGAAAGCUUCUAUCUAUGGAACAUAAGGUAUAAUCUCACCUCAUUCCUAACGUAUUAAUGAUACUUCACAUUGGUAGAUCACCCGAUCGUGUUUAUAAAUCAGUAUCAUUUCUAAAUUUCCAAACUGUUCCAAAAUGCAAUUAAUACAUGGAAGGGAGGCUGUGUGUGUGUGUGUGUGUGUGUGUGUGUGUUGUAUGUGUUGGUGGGGGGAGAGAAGGAAAGAGAGGGAGAGAUUGGAAGGGUAAACUCGAAUAGUUACGGUGGUUUGUGGCUGAGUGGGAUUAUGAGUGUAUCUUUCUUUUCCGUUGCUAUCUUGUGUUUUUGUUUUUGUUUUUUCAGUGCUGCACCUUUGGCAUAUGGAAGUUCCCAGGCUAGGGGUCUAAUGGAGCUACAGCUGCCAAACUAUGCCACAGCCACAGCAACACCAGAUCCGAGCCACAUCUGCAACCUACACCGCAGCUUGUGGCAACUCUGGAUCCUUAACCCACUGAGUGAGGCCAGGGAUCAAACCUGCACCUUCAUGGAUACUAGUCGGGUUCGUUACUGCUGAGCCACAGCAGGAACUCCAAGCACUUUGCUACCUUGAAAGAGAAUUAUUUUAACUGAGAAAGAAUAAUCAAAAAUCACAAGCGAAGAGGAGAAAUGACUCUACCUGUAAUCACACGGCAAGGUCAAGAUUCUCUCUGCAAAUGUGACCGAGCAGCUUGCAACUCAUUAACCACAGGGAUCCACCCCCAGCCUGCAGAGCAGAGCUAUCACCCUGUGUCUACCCUGCCAAAGGUGGCAACUACCCUAAUGAGGUUCUUUCCCUUCCUGAGCUUGGAGACCACCUUGGGAACGGGUGGAGGAAGCCGGUUCCUCUGUGCACAUCUUGAAGACCAAGGCUCUGGAGCCCAAGGACCAGCCCUGAGCCUCAGUCAUGCGAGAGCAGAGACCAUCUAGUCCAACCAGGAGGGCCAACUGAGUACCGGUGCCUCCACAUGGGUCUGGCCCUCCACUGGGCAUCUGCUCAAAGGCUGUAACAGAGGAGCCAUCAUCCUCAUAGCUAGACUGAGAAGGAGUUAAGGAAGGGAAAAUUCCUUUGGCAGCAUCAUUACAUGUGAAAAAAAUCUGACCAAGAUAAUGAUUGGGCUCUGGGUUUGAGUAUCAAGCAGCCAUGAGAUCACUUCCUUGGUUGAGCCAAGGCUGAGAGGGGAAAGGAAUCCAGGAAGAGAUGUGUCACCUGUUCACCUGCUCAUUCACUCAUUCAUUCAGCAAACAUUUCCUGACUAGCCCAAAGGCUUGUCUGUGGCAGACUGUCAUGACUUCGGGACAUGACAAAGUGCCCAGAGGCCAGGAAGAGUGGGAGGUGAAAUACAGCUCCACUUGCUGAGCUGUGCCUUCAAGAGAACCUCGGCCCUCCAAGGCAAGGAUGUCUUGUCUUCAGGUGGAGGCUGAGCCACCCUUGUGCCUGCAGAACUGCACCUGGCCAGGCGGAGUGCCCUUUCUAAAAUUCUUAAGACUGGGACAUGAGCUAGCAAUGACUCUGCUCCCAGGGCCAUGCAUGGUGCUAGGCAAUAAUGAUACAAAGAUGAACCUGCAUGACUCUUCGCACUCAAGAAAAUCAAUGGAAGCAGAGACAGAAAGUGAAGAAUUACAAUAAGUCAUCACAAUUAUUACAAAAUGAUAUGGAAAAUCAUCAUAGAAGCAAGAGAGAGAGAGCACACCUGUUGUAAAAGCAAUACUAAUGCUGUCCACAGUGAAAGGUUCAGAAAGAAGGAUAAGAAGAAAAGGUGAAGAAGGAGGAGGAAGAAGAAGAGAAUCUUGGCCAUUUAGUGCAUCUUCCUUUAGGCUAAGACUGAUUCUAUCAAAUCCCAGACCUGAGGAUCAGAGAAGCUGAGUGUGGCUAUUAAAGGCAGAGUGAAGAUUCUAAGUCAGGUCCUUCCAUUUCCAAACACUUGUACUUUCUAAAACACUCUGCUCCCCAGUAUUCAUCCCACAGACAUGUGUUGGGUCUGUGCCAGGCUGUGCCAGGAAGGAUCCUGGGCCCAGGAGAUGCAGAUUUCAGAAGCAGCAGAGGGUCUUAGCUGAAAGUCUAAACUGAAGGCAGACUGCCUGGGUUUGAAUCCCAGGGCCACUGCCAGCCCCUCUCACACUUGAGGCAAAUUUAGAAAAAGACAUUCCCUUUGGUCAGAUGUAGCUCUGGGUUUGAAUUGUAGCUCAGCCUCCUCUUCUUGCCUCAGUUUCCUCCUCUGUAAAAUGGAGAUAAUGGUACCAACCUACUAGGGUUUUGGUAAGGAUUCCAUGAGAUAAUACAUGCAAAGUAAUGGGAACGGUACCCGGCACACAGACAACACUAUACAAGCUAUAGCGAGUUCUGCAGGCAUUAGAUGUUGGUAAUGUUAUCAGCGGUAGUGGCGGUAGCAGUCCCAUUAUCUCACAGUUUGUUGAGGGAGUGGGUGUGUCUUUAUGAACA